CCUCCUGUUUGCGGGCUCAUCCUUCGACUCCGGACCGCCGCAGGCGCGGUUGCUGUUGGUGGGUCGAUAGUUGAGAAGGGGAGCCUUCUCAGACAUUCCAACGCUUACGUGUCCCCCUAAUGACUACAACAAAACACAAUCAACACCCCCUCGCCUGCACACCUGUUCCCAAUCAGCACUCAUCACUGGUUGGGCACCUGUACCCGAUCAGCACUCAUCACUGCCUGCAUUUAAGCCUGCCAGAUCCAGGAAAUCAGCACCAGAGUAUUGACGUUCAUCCGUGGUACACAGGCCAAUUUUAUUAUGCUACAUGGAGCUCUGUGCAGGGUAGCUGAACUGGCGUGGGCAGGAUGGUGGAACUGUUGCAGUUGUUCUGCCAGGAUGGAGUUAUGGAAGUGGAGAGACGAAUUAGCAUGUGACUGAAUACAGUGGAGCAUCCAUAUUUGAACCCUGUAUUUCGUAGGUUGACAGUCAGGCAGGUCGUACAGGGAUAUUUCCGGUUGGGCAUUCAUAAAAAGUUACUUAGAGUUACUCAGUUAUAAUUACUUGGACCAUUUCUACCACUACUGCAUGUAAUUAGCUAGCUAGCUUUGCUUACACCUGAAUAGUCCCUAGAUGCCACAAUUUACAGAACAGCUUCAGUGUUGGCAUUUAAAUACCCGUGUUUUGUAUUUUGUGUUAUUCCGGCUACCGUAAUCUGUGCGAACGCAAAGCAUUGUGGGUAUAUAACCAACAGGAAGUGUGUGCAAAUGUCUGUCAUGUAGCGCAAGCCACAUGCUGAUUAACGUGUGUCCCUGUGUUUAAUAAACAGUUGACUUUCA